UAUGCUUUACACAUGCAAGUCGAACGGGCUUGGGGGCUUGCUCCCAGGUUAGUGGCGAACGGGUGAGUAAUAUAUCGGAACAUAUCCGGAAGUGGGGGAUAAGCGUAAUCGAAAGUUGACGCUAAUACCGCAUAUGCCCUGACCGGGAAAGGGGGGGAUCGCAAGACCUCUCGGCUUUCGGACGUGGCCGAUACCGGAUUAUGCUAGAUGGUGAGGUAGAAGGCUCACCAUGGCGACGAUCCGAUAGACGGGUCUGAGAGGACGACCCGCCACACUGGAACUGAGACACGGUCACAGACUCCUACAGGGAGGCAGCAGUGGGGAAUUGUUGGACUAAUGGGCGCAAGCCUGAUCCAGCCAUACCGCGUGAGUGAAUGAAGUCCUUACGGGUUGUAAAGCUCUUUCAGCCGGAAAGGAAAUUGGCUUCUAUUUAAUACUAAGGAAUAGAUGACGGUACCGGAAGAAGAAGCACCGGCUAACUACGUGCCAGCAGCCGCGGUAAUACGUAGGGUGCGAGCGUUAAUCGGAAUUACUGGGCGUAAAGCGUGCGCAGGCGGUUUGGUAAGACAAUGUAAAACCCCGGGCUUAACCUGGGAACUGCAUUUGUGACUGCCAGACUAGAGUGUAGCAGAGGGGGGUAGAAAUCCACGUGUAGAAGUNAAAUGCGUAAAGAUGUGGAGGAAUAACGAUGGCGAAGGCAGCCCCCUGGGCUAAACACUGACGCUCAUGCGCGAAAGCGUGGCGAGCAAACAGNAUUAGAUACCCUGGAAAGACCACGCCCUAAACGAUGUCAACUAGGGGUUGGGGAAGGAGACUUCAUUUAGUACCGCAGCUAACGCGUGAAGUUGACCGCCUGGGGAGUACGGUCGCAAGAUUAAAACUC
rnacentral:rRNA from 1 species